UUUGUUGAAGUUGUAUGGUUUAAAAUGAUAUAUGAUGGAAGUUUCGUCUUAAUGAUGCAGUUUCUCAUAUUGGUGAGUCAUUUUUGAUUGGUUAUAAUGGUAAUUGUGUUUGAAUCUCAACAAACUCUGGUACCUAGAUAUAAUUGGUAUUGCUCUAAAUUUCAAAAAGAAAAUAUUUUUGUUGCUACAUAUAGUUUAGAACUAGUUAACAAUAAGUGUUAUUUAUUGUGAACUUUCUCGUCAUUGUUGUUCAUUAUUUUUUUUGUUUUUAAUUGACUAGUUUCAUGUAUAAGCAUUUACUUGAGUGUUGGUUAAUUGUUCGAUUACAUUGAGCAGUUUUUACAAAAUUAUAAGCUAUAUUACUUUCAGGAAAGUUCGGGUAAGUUCAACAUUGACUAUUGUGGAAGAUAAAUAUGACAUCUAUAGAGGUGAAAGAGGUGGUUUAGUAGUACCGCAUAAAAACUAUUAGAUGAAAUUUCUCAACCACUUCAUCACUUAUUCUUGACUAUACUCUUCUAGACAUCUAAGAUUGCAUGUGAUUGAUGACUUUAUGUUUUCUUAUUCGUCGUCCUUCCAUGUCUACAUUCAUAUUUAUUUCUUCAUAUAUAUAUAUAUUUGUUCGUUCGUUCAUUUUUGAUUUUGUUAACGGUGAUUGUUUGUUGCUAACCUUUGUUAUUUAAAUCCAUUCUGAUUUUGUUCAUUUCUUUUUUCAGUGAUGUCAUAAUGGAAGCUAACCAAUGUUCUUGAAAUGAAAGCCUCUAUUUCCUUUUUCCUUUUGAUUUUAUUACUUCCUAUACUUCAAUAUCUUGCCACAUUAAUGCAUUACUCUAUGCACUCUGCAUUCUCUGUACUCUGUCUCUAAUGAAAAACAAUUGUUCAAAAGGUAUGCUUACAGAUAACACAAUCACUAUAUGCUUAUAAAUUAUUUGUUUAGAAUUUAGAUGAAGUAAUCACGAUAUGGAGAUAACACGUAUGAUGCAUUUAAUCACUUUUAUUAUAAAGUUGUGACAUGGUGGGGUUGGGGGACGGCAUUCAUUUAAGUGUUUAAGGCCCAUCAAAAUGAUAAAAAUAGUGAUACUUUUGUUAGCUUCUUGUGAGAACAUUUAAUAAGAAACAGCAUGAGAGGUUUGAAAAACUUGUGUAAUAAUAAUAAUAAUUGGUAUAUUAAAAUAAUAUAUAUAUUGUUUGUCUAAGAAAGAGUUAUUGUUUUAGGGGUUAUGUCUUCAGAAUAUUGUAUAGUAAAGAUGGUGUCAGCUUGGUGGUUUUGUGAGGUGAAAAUACUUAUUAAGCCCUUUAUAUUAUGGACUCUAUUAAGUGAACCUUUUUUUACCUAAAUUCCCUUAUUUUAUUUUAUUGAGAAUUUCUUAACGCACCCUAGAUAUUUCUAAUGCACAACGUAAAUUUUCACAAAUGUCCCCUAUUUUUGAAAAUACAUCUCGAAGCACUUAAUGCACACUCAAGCAAGGCCAUUAUGUGAGGCACCAUGUAUGUUGGGUUAAUUUAUCCUAACUAACUCCUAACUGUUUACUGUUUGUGAAUUUCAAGCAAAUUUAGAUGUGAAUUUAAUUGAAAUUUAGAGUGGAUUUCUAACUUAUUUUGGGAUAGGAAAUG
rnacentral:lncRNA from 1 species